AUGACGCACACAAACAGCGCGCGGGAAAGGGGCGGGGUCGCCGCGCGAGGCCUUGGUCCACACCAAUUGCCUUGAAAACCUUGUCCGGGAGUUGGGCGUGGCUUCAGGGCGACCCGCUGGAGCAUCCUUGGAGUGCGUCCACUUCCGGCCGUGGCCGGCGGGCCCUCCCCUCCCCCAUCCCGCAGUUCUUCUGUUUAAAAAGAAGCUUCCCAUUGGCAAUGACGAUGGAGGUAAACCUCUUGACGUCUUCUGGAACUAUCCUCGCAGCGGCGACAAACCUCUCCAGGUCAUCCACGCUGUUUUGGACUUUGUCCGUCAUGAGAACUUCCAGGGACCAAUUGCAGCGGUCCAAGUUUCCCUUGGCAUCCAGCAGUGUCUGGUAGGAGCUAGAGAUCGCCUGGAGCUGAUCUCUAAUUCUAGCCUGAAGGUAGCUGUCUGUGAGACUGCAAGCGGUCCCACCAACCCCUUGGGCAAAAUCCAGAAAUUCUCUUACAGAUUCCUCUACCUGGUCAGCGGCCCUGCGGAUUCCAUGGAUGUUGGUUUCCAAGGCAUCUUUGAACCUCCAAGUCCUGCUUACGAAGAGCAGCAGGCCCGCUGCCGAGCUGGCCACUUUGUGUUGCAGAUUCACUGCCAUCUCCUUUGCAAAGUCCACAUCCAUCCAUAGCUCCUUGACGGAGUCCUCUGAGGAGGAGCCAGAGGAGGAGUCCAUGGAUAUGGAGGAGCAGGAAGACACCACACUAGCCCUGCUGUCUGAGCUGGCAACAGAUAAUCGGUCCGAGUCGGGAGACAGGAAACUUGUCUGUCGUGAGAUCCAGGGGGAAUUCUCUGACGCUUCUCUGCCUCUCUCCAGCUCCUUUCCAGCCAGAGACACACCCCGCAUGCCUUUCGGGGUGUCAUAAAUGUUAGGCAUGGUGUUCUGUUGCUCCACUCUGGGAAUGAGAAACCUGGAAGGGACCUUGUAGCUGCCACCUGCAUCAGAAGGCAGCGGGUCAUUGGGCGUCGGGAAGGCAUAGGUAGGUUCUUCUGGGAGGCUGUUUUUUUUCUGCACAGUGUUCCCCAACUGUGGGGAGAGGGCCACAGCUCCAAUGUGGACAGCAGAGGGGGCUGGAAAGGCUCUGGACCCUGAUUCUUUGGUGAAGCUGGUCAUAGACACAUUUCUGACCUCGGCCUUUUCCAGCAACACCGGAGUGUCAUGAAUCCGUUCUGACUUCUGAGGUCUGGAAAACGGGUUAUAGCCACCACCUUGUCUGAAGGCCAUUGUCGGUGCCAGUGUAACACCCUGUCCCUGGAGGAAAAAAAAAAAACCACACACACACAGUUGCCCCCGGUUAAUAACAAUCAAACAAGAAACUGACAGGCCCUUGGCAUCCGAGUGCCACUGUUUUGUUCAGGUUCCUUCAGUGUCCCCUCCCCACCUCCCAUUGCUCUUGUUACUCAAGGGCUCUCCCAGUCUGGCUCCGCCCUCUGUCAAACCUCCUUUCUCUGCCCUUCCACAGCCGUCCAUCUCUGCACACUCAUGGUGGUUUGGACGAGAAUAACCAUAUCCAAAUGCUUGGUUCCCAGUUGGCCAAACCGUCUGGGAAGAUUAGCCGUGGCCUUGUUGGAGGAGAUGGGUCACAAGGGAAAGCUUUCUCCCACCAUCCCCUGUGCACUCUCUUCCUCACACCCCCCUUCCCCCCCUUAUGGCUCAAGGUUGUAAGCUUUCUACUGUCCCUGCUGCCAUGGCUUCAUUAUGCCAUUCCGGGGUCAAACCCUCUGGAGCUACCACCCCAAUGGACUGCUGGAUUUUAUAGGUUGCCUUGGUCAUGGCAUUUUGUCACAGCAGAGGAACUUAUCCCAUCCACCCACUUUCCCAAGUUGCUUUUCUUUUCUUCCUCUCAGUUCAGCAACCCCCCCCCCCACACACACACCCGUAUCCCCACGUUGCCUCUACUUGUCCCUAUCCUGCUACUGGGCCUUGAACCUUUUCUUUUGCAUCUAACAAACUUCUACACACCACUCAUGAUAUCGUCGAAACACAUCAAAGCUGAACAAUUUCCCCUAAUCCUCUAUGUGUUAUACAAAUGAUCUCACAGAAUAUUCCAGAACAUCUGUAGUAAGAAUGCAGGCAUGGGGAAGUUAAUUGACAUAGCCAAACCAC
ensembl:processed_transcript Gm14455 predicted gene 14455